CGGGGAACGGGUGAGUAAUACAUCGGAACAUGNCCAGUCGUGGGGGAUAACACUUCNAAAGAAGUGCUAAUACCGCAUACGUCCUGAGGGAGAAAGCGGGGGAUCGCAAGACCUCGCGCGAUUGGAGUGGCCGAUGUCAGAUUNGCUAGUUGGUGGGGNAAAGGCCUACCAAGGCAACGAUCUGUAGCUGGUCNGAGAGGAUGAUCAGCCACACUGGGANUGANACANGGCCCANACUCCUACGGGAGGCAGCNGUGGGGAAUUUUGGACANUGGGGGNACCCUGAUCCGGCCAUUCCGCGUGAGUGAAGAAGGCCUUNGGGUUGUAAAGCUCUUUCGGCAGGAACGAAACGGUGAGCUCUAACAUAGCUUGCNAAUGACGGUNCCUGAANAAGAAGNACCGGCUAACUACGUGCCNGCNGCCGCGGUAAUACGUAUGGUGCGAGCGUUAAUCGGAAUUACUGGGCGUAAAGCGUGCGCAGGCGGUUGUGUAAUACAGGUGUGAAAUCCCCGGGCUUAACCUGGGAACUGCGCUUGNGACUGCACANCUAGAGKAUGGCANAGGGGGGUGGAAUUCCACGUGUAGCAGUGAAAUGCGUACAGAUGUGGAGGAACACCAUGGCGAAGGCAGNCNCCCNGGGCCAAUACUGACGCUCAUGCACGAAAGCGUGGNNAGCAAACAGGAUUAGAUACCUUGGUNGUNCACGCCCUAAACGAUGUCGACUAGGUGUUCGGNGAGGAGACUCAUUGAGUNCCGCAGCUAACGCGUGAAGUCGNCCGCCUGGGGAGUACGGUCGCAAGAUUAAAACUCAAAGGAAUUGACGGGGACCCGCACAAGCGGUGGAUGAUGUGGAUUACUUCGAUGCAACGCGAAAAACCUUACCUACCCUUGNCAUGUACGGAACCCUGGUGAGAGGUGGGGGUGCUCGAAAGAGAGCCGUANCACAGGUGCUGCAUGGCUGUCGUCAGCUCGUGUCGUGAGAUGUUGGGNUAAGUCCCGCAACGAGCGCAACCCUUGUCAUUAGUUGNUACGCAAGAGCNCUCUAANGAGACUNCCGGUGACAAACCGGGGGAAGGUGGGGAUGACNUCAAGUCCUCAUGNCCCUUAUGGGUAGGGCNUCACACNUCAUACAAUGGUCGGNACAGAGGGUUNCCAANCCGCGAGGUGGAGCCAAUCCCAGAAAGCCGAUNGUAGUCCGGAUNGCAGUCUGCAACUCGNCUGCGUGAAGUCGGAAUCGCUAGUAAUCGCGGAUCNGCAUGCCGCGGUGAAUACGUUCCCGGGUNUUGNACNCCCCNCCCNUCACCCCAUGGGAGUGGGUUUC
rnacentral:rRNA from 1 species